UGAUGGUCCACGUGACGCUGGCUCAGGCACUGCAGGCUGUUACGUUGUGUGACUUACUUGGACAUGAAAGCUCCACUCUCACAGCGUAGCCGACAUGCCUCUGGAAACAGCAGCUCUGGGCUAUGAAGAACAUCCACCAGCACGGAAAACUCCGCCUGAACCUUCGGACUGAACUGCUCCUCCAGAAGGGACACGACCCCCUGCACAUCAGACAGACUCACAUAAGGGCUCAAUAAAAUGCUCUCCUCAUUCUAUCAAAAAUAA